AGCGAACGCUAGCGGCGGGCUUAACACAUGCAAGUCGAGCGCCUUUACUUCGGUAAGGAGCGGCGGACGGGUGAGUAACACGUAGGUUAUCUGGCCCCGGGGUGAGGGACAACUGAGGGAAACUUCAGCUAAUACCACAUAUGGCCUACGGGUCAAAGGCUUCGGCCGCCCUGGGAUGAGCCUGCGUCCCAUUAUUUAAUCCUAGUUGGUGGGGUAAUGGCCUACCAAGGGUACGAUGGGUAGCUGGUUUGAGAGAAUGAUCAGCCACACUGGAACUGAGACACGGUCCAGACUCCUACGGGAGGCAGCAGUGGGGAAUAUUGCGCAAUGGGCGAAAGCCUGACGCAGCCACGCCGCGUGAGUGAUGAAGGCCCGAGGGUCGUAAAGCUCUGUCGGGAGGGAAGAACAAAAUGACGGUACCUCCCAAGAAGCACCGGCUAACUCCGUG
rnacentral:rRNA from 1 species